CUUCACCGAGCCCAGCCACAGCGGCCGGUCCUGCGGGCGCUCCAGGCCGUAGGUGGCGAGCAGGGCCUGGGCCUC
rnacentral:antisense_RNA from 1 species